GAUGAACGCUGGCGGCGUGCCUAAUACAUGCAAGUCGAGCGAACGGACGAGAAGCUUGCUUCUCUGAUGUUAGCGGCGGACGGGUGAGUAACACGUGGAUAACCUACCUAUAAGACUGGGAUAACUUCGGGAAACCGGAGCUAAUACCGGAUAAUAUUUUGAACCGCAUGGUUCAAAAGUGAAAGACGGUCUUGCUGUCACUUAUAGAUGGAUCCGCGCUGCAUUAGCUAGUUGGUAAGGUAACGGCUUACCAAGGCAACGAUGCAUAGCCGACCUGAGAGGGUGAUCGGCCACACUGGAACUGAGACACGGUCCAGACUCCUACGGGAGGCAGCAGUAGGGAAUCUUCCGCAAUGGGCGAAAGCCUGACGGAGCAACGCCGCGUGAGUGAUGAAGGUCUUCGGAUCGUAAAACUCUGUUAUUAGGGAAGAACAUAUGUGUAAGUAACUGUGCACAUCUUGACGGUACCUAAUCAGAAAGCCACGGCUAACUACGUGCCAGCAGCCGCGGUAAUACGUAGGUGGCAAGCGUUAUCCGGAAUUAUUGGGCGUAAAGCGCGCGUAGGCGGUUUUUUAAGUCUGAUGUGAAAGCCCACGGCUCAACCGUGGAGGGUCAUUGGAAACUGGAAAACUUGAGUGCAGAAGAGGAAAGUGGAAUUCCAUGUGUAGCGGUGAAAUGCGCAGAGAUAUGGAGGAACACCAGUGGCGAAGGCGACUUUCUGGUCUGUAACUGACGCUGAUGUGCGAAAGCGUGGGGAUCAAACAGGAUUAGAUACCCUGGUAGUCCACGCCGUAAACGAUGAGUGCUAAGUGUUAGGGGGUUUCCGCCCCUUAGUGCUGCAGCUAACGCAUUAAGCACUCCGCCUGGGGAGUACGACCGCAAGGUUGAAACUCAAAGGAAUUGACGGGGACCCGCACAAGCGGUGGAGCAUGUGGUUUAAUUCGAAGCAACGCGAAGAACCUUACCAAAUCUUGACAUCCUUUGACAACUCCAGAGAUAGAGCCUUCCCCUUCGGGGGGCAAAGUGACAGGUGGUGCAUGGUUGUCGUCAGCUCGUGUCGUGAGAUGUUGGGUUAAGUCCCGCAACGAGCGCAACCCUUAAGCUUAGUUGCCAUCAUUAAGUUGGGCACUCUAAGUUGACUGCCGGUGACAAACCGGAGGAAGGUGGGGAUGACGUCAAAUCAUCAUGCCCCUUAUGAUUUGGGCUACACACGUGCUACAAUGGACAAUACAAAGGGCAGCGAAACCGCGAGGUCAAGCAAAUCCCAUAAAGUUGUUCUCAGUUCGGAUUGUAGUCUGCAACUCGACUACAUGAAGCUGGAAUCGCUAGUAAUCGUAGAUCAGCAUGCUACGGUGAAUACGUUCCCGGGUCU
rnacentral:rRNA from 1 species